rnacentral:lncRNA from 1 species
AUGGAUCACAUCUUAGGAAAAGCAGCAGAAUGCGCAGGUGAUGCGUUGGAGGGAGCACUAAAGAAGGUUUGUGGGGUGGAAAGCAAAAAGGAAAAGUCAGGAGGAUUCCUCUCAUUUUUGGGAGGUGACAAGGACAAAGAUGACAAGGACAAGGACAAGAAGGACACAGGAGGUCUGUUCUCAUUUGGAGAUGACAAGAAGAAAGACGAUGACGACAAGGGCGGGUUCUUCUCAAAGAUCUUCAACAAAGAUGACGACGAAGACAAAGAGAAGAAAUCUGGGUUUAAAGGUCUGUUCAACGAACAGGGAGGAGCAAGUGGUGGCGGCGGGGGCGAAGAGAUGCCCAGAUUUGAUGAAGAUGCUAAUGCAGGACCAGGACCAGGACCAGGACUCAGUGACGGAGAUGUUUUCAAUGAUUUGAUGGAUGUGGCCGAAGAAAUGUCCGAAGGAAAAUAA